UGAGGAAUAUUGGACAAUGGGCGCAAGCCUGAUCCAGCCAUGCCGCGUGCAGGAAGAAGCACCUAUGGUGUGUAAACUGCUUUUGUACGGGAAGAAACACUCCUUCGUGAAGGAGCUUGACUGUACCGUAAGAUUAAGGAUCGGCUAACUUCGUGCCAGCAGCCGCGGUAAUACGGAGGAUCCAAGCGUUAUCCGGAAACAUUGGGUUUAAAGGGUCCGUAGGCGGUUUAGUAAGUCAGUGGUGAAAGCCCAUCGCUCAACGAUGGAACGGCCAUUGAUACUGCUAGACUUGAAUUAUUAGGAAGUAACUAGAAUAUGUAGUGUAACGGUGAAAUGCUUAGAUAUUACAUGAAAUACCAAUUGCGAAGGCAGGUUACUACUAAUGGAUUGACGCUGAUGGACGAAAGCGUGGGGAGCGAACA
rnacentral:rRNA from 1 species